AGAGUUUGAUCCUGGCUCAGAACGAACGCUGGCGGCGUGGCUGAGACAUGCAAGUCGAACGGUCCGGCACUAAUUUGUUUACAAAUUGAUGCCGGAUAGUGGCGAAAGGGUGAGUAAUGCAUGGGUAACGUACCCCGGGCACCGGGAUAGCAGUACCCGUCACCUAUUUGCUCAGACUAAAGCUCCUGCUCAAGGGGCCAUAUGCUGAGUGAAUAGGUGGCGGGUUUCCGAAAGGGCUGGUAAUACCGGAUUCGGCCAACAGUACUGCGGUACUGUUGAUCAAAGGUGGGGAUCUGCUUCGGCAGACCUACCGGCCUGGGAGCGGCCCAUGUCCCAUCAGCUUGUUGGUAAGGUAACGGCUUACCAAGGCUACGACGGGUACCGGGGCUGGGAGGCUGGCCCGGCACAUUGGGACUGAGACACUGCCCAGACCCCCACGGGGGGCUGCAGUAACGAAUCUUCCGCAAUGGGCGCAAGCCUGACGGAGCGACGCCGCGUGUGGGAUGAAGUCUUUCGGGAUGUAAACCACUGUCAGGGCUACGGAAGCAAUCCGCGACUAAUACGGCGGGGCGUUGACCUAUCCCAGAGGAAGCCACGGCUAANUUNGUGCCAGCAGCCGCGGUAAUACGAAGGUGGCGAGCGUUGUUCGGAAUCACUGGGCUUAAAGAGCACGUAGGCGGUUGGCCAAGCAUCUUGUGAAAACCCUCGGCUCAACCGAGGAACUGCUGGAUGAACUGGCUAACUUGAGCUGCAUAGGGGCGACUGGAACUCUAGGUGGAGCGGUGAAAUGCGUAGAUAUCUAGAGGAACGCCGGUGGUGAAAACGGGUCGCUGGGUGCAAGCUGACGCUGAGGUGCGAAAGCGUGGGGAGCGAACGGGAUUAGAUACCCCGGUAGUCCACGCCGUAAACGAUGGGCACUAGGUUCUGGUGGGUUUGACCCCAUCAGGGCCGAAGCAAAAGUGAUAAGCGCCCCGCCUGGGGAGUACGGUCGCAAGGCUAAAACUCAAAGGAAUUGACGGGGGCUCACACAAGCGGUGGAGCAUGUGGCUCAAUUCGAGGCAACGCGAAGAACCUUAUCCUGGGUUUGACAUGGUUGGAUGCCCUUGGUGAAAGCCAAGUAAGCUGCCUUCGGGUGAAACUANCACANGUGCUGCAUGGCUGUCGUCAGCUCGUGCU
rnacentral:rRNA from 1 species